GGGGAUUUAGCUCAGUGGUUCCAGUGCCUGCCUUGAAAGCAUGAGGUCCCAAGUUCAAUCCCCA
rnacentral:tRNA from 1 species